AACUUUCAACAACGGAUCUCUUGGUUCUGGCAUCGAUGAAGGACGCAGCAAAAUGCGAUAAGUAAUGUGAAUUGCAGAAUUCAGUGAAUCAUCGAAUCUUUGAACGCACAUUGCGCCCGCCAGUAUUCUGGCGGGCAUGCCUGUUCGAGCGUCAUUU
rnacentral:rRNA from 1 species